AACAAACGCUGGCGGCGUGCCUAACACAUGCAAGUCGUACGAGAAAGGGUCCUUCGGGGCCUGAGUAAAGUGGCGCACGGGUGAGUAACGCGUGGAUAAUCUGCCCUUCAGUUGGGAAUAACUCAUCGAAAGGUGGGCUAAUACCGAAUAAUGCUGUGAGACCUCGGUUGAUCAGCCAAAGAGAGCCUCUGCUUGCAAGCCCUCGCUGAAGGAUGAGUCCGCGUACCAUUAGCUAGUUGGUAGGGUAAUGGCCUACCAAGGCGACGAUGGUUAGCUGGUCUGGGAGGAUGAUCAGCCACAGUGGAACUGAGACACGGUCCAGACUCCUACGGGAGGCAGCAGUGAGGAAUCUUGCGCAAUGGGGGCAACCCUGACGCAGCAACGCCGCGUGAGUGAGGAAGGUCUUCGGAUCGUAAAGCUCUGUCGGAUGGAAAGAACCGCAUAGGGGUAAACAGCCCCUGUGUCUGACGGUACCAUCAAAGGAAGCACCGGCUAACUCCGUGCCAGCCGCCGCGGUAAAAC
rnacentral:rRNA from 1 species